GUCCUACGGGACGCAGCAGUGAGGAAUAUUGGUCAAUGGCCGGAAGGCUGAACCAGCCAAGCCGCGUGAGGGAGGAAGGCGCAGAGCGUCGCAGACCUCUUUUGCCGGGGGACAAAAGGCCGGACUCGUCCGGUCCUGAGGGUACCCGGAGAAAAAGCAUCGGCUAACUCCGUGCCAGCAGCCGCGGUAAUACGUAGGUGGCAAGCGUUGUCCGGAUUUAUUGGGCGCAAAGCGAGUGCAGGCGGUUCAAUAA
rnacentral:rRNA from 1 species